rnacentral:rRNA from 1 species
AUACGUAGGGGGCGAGCGUUGUCCGGAAUCAUUGGGCGUAAAGGGUGCGUAGGCGGCUUGGCAAGUCCUGUGUGAAAGGUCGCGGCUUAACCGCGGUGGGUCAUGGGAAACUGCCAGGCUUGAGUGCCGGAGAGGAUAGCGGAAUUCCACGUGUAGCGGUGAAAUGCGUAGAUAUGUGGAGGAACACCAGUGGCGAAGGCGGCUAUCUGGAAGGUAACUGACGCUGAGGCACGACAGCUGGGGGAGCAAACAGGAUUAGAUACCCUGGUAGUCCCAGCCGUAAACGAUGAGUGCUAGGUGUUGGGGGUAUCGACCCCUCCAGUGCCGAAGUCAACACAAUAAGCACUCCGCCUGGGGAGUACGGCCGCAAGGCUGAA